rnacentral:rRNA from 1 species
AGAGAUGAGGAGAGGAAGAUACGAGUAAUGCGUGUAGAGUACACGAGCGGCGGACGGCUGAGUAACGCGUAGGAACGUACCCCAAAGUGAGGGAUAAGCACCGGAAACGGUGUCUAAUACCGCAUGUGGUCUUCGGAUUAAAGCUUCGGCGCUUUGGGAGCGGCCUGCGUAUGAUUAGUUUGUUGGUGAGGUAAUGGCUCACCAAGGCUUCGAUCAUUAGCUGGUCUGAGAGGAUGAUCAGCCAGACUGGGACUGAGAACGGCCCAGACUCCUACGGGAGGCAGCAGUAGGGAAUUUUCCACAAUGGACGAAAGUCUGAUGGAGCAACGCCGCGUGCAGGAUGAAGGCUUUCGGGUCGUAAACUGCUUUUAUAUGUGACGAUUUUGACGGUAGCAUAUGAAUAAGGAUCGGCUAACUCCGUG